GAAUUUGUGCUGAACUUAUCACAGUGUUGGUUCACUGUCACUGCUCUCAUAGUGUGGUUUCAGCUGCAGCAGCUGCUUUCAGUGAGAAAGCUGUAAGAACCCACUGUACAUUAGCUUUAUUAGCAGCACACAGACACAGUCAGAGACUAGCUGGUGAACACAGUGGAGCAUUUAGCAGCUAAACACACAGAUAUUUCUCUCAGGAGCUGCUGGAGACCAAAACCUUCAGGAUUCUCUGCUGGUCCUCAAUCACUUUUCUCCACUGACUCUCACACAGACAGAACUGUGACUUUGUUCCAUCUAAAGGUCCAACUAGAAAACUCCUGUUUCUUUAACAUUAAUAGUUGACCUCUCUGUUAUACUUGAAUGAAAAUUGGUUAUUUGAACUCUCCUACAGUAAUAAAAGAAAAGGUAUGUAAUCCUCUGUCUUUCUCUCUCUCUUCAGUUUCAGAAGCUCUCAGAGGAGAAGCAGAGGACUGAGAAUGAGCUGAAGCCCAAGAUAACACAGGUUCAUCUUUUAUUGAUAUUCAUUUUUGCUUACAUCCACAUAUUUGUUUGUUUUUACCUUAAAAUCUCAUAUUACUGCUGUAUUAUAUCUUUAGAAUAUUUCAAUGUAUAACAACAUCAACCACACAAAGAGUCAAAGUAUAUUAAGGUUAAAAGAUUAAAUAAAAAAAACUCUUCUUGAUUCAUGAAUGUAAGUAGAGUAGCCUUUUUACUUUAGGAUUGAAUGUGUUGGAUCUCACAGUAUGUCUCCAUGUCUCUCUGCACUCCCUGUUGGAGAAUCAGCUCCUGCAGGAGAAACAGGACAGACAGAAGGACGUGGAGAACCUGAAGAAUCAGCUGGAGACCAAGAAGAAAAAGUUGGAGAACCCCUUGAAAUGAGAAAACUAAAAGGGAGAAAGCUGAGAGAGAAGUGGAGAACCUCAAGAAGCAGCUGGAGACCAAGGUCCAUGUUUUAACCUAGCACACUGUUGGUUAAUGGAGCUGUUAUUUCGUGUUUCUUUUAUUUUCUUCACAAAUGAUUCAUAUUCAGACAAGACAAUCUAAAUCUGUGACACCAUACCAUGAUCACGCCUCUCCAUAUAACAAAACGUCAGUAUACUAUUAUUAUAUUAAUAAAUGGAAUGGAAGUCUGAAUAUACGGAAUUAAACUUGUCACGUGAUCAAGGCACUGCGGCAACUUUUAAUCCAUAUAUUCAAGUUUCAUAUUAUAUAUCUAAUAAUUUCCUAAA
rnacentral:lncRNA from 15 species